UGGAAUUCACGAACGCUACACUAAAAAAAAUUUAUGUAAAUUUUAAACCACAGGUCUGGUUGGAGAUAAAUCGCAUUUAAACAUUCUUGUUGGAACCACUACAAUUAAAAUAGGUCCAUAAAAAAUUUGAUCUACGUUUGUAAAUUAUAAUGAAAGUAUCAAUACUAAUUCAGUAUACUUUUCCAAAAAAAAAUACUAAUUCAGUAUACAAAUCGAAGAUCCAAAAACAACCCAUAAGACUAUGCAAACAAUACAGACAAGGGCCACAGGUCACUUCGUGUGAAUCCUGAAAAGCAAGGUAGCAAAACGGCCAAUCGGAAAAACAGUUCACCCAAUUUCAUUAUACCUGCUUUAACAUCUCUGCAGGUGCAAUAGCUUUAACAUAAAAAAUAAGUCCAUCCAACUUGAUUGAAGAAAAACUUGCUACAAAUAGAAGGAUUCCUUUACUCUUCUUUACCCAAUUUGCAGACGAGCAAAGGAAUAAUAAAACUUGGCU
rnacentral:lncRNA from 1 species